rnacentral:lncRNA from 1 species
GGCCUGAGGCGUGAGGGCAAACCCGCACUCACGUGCCACAAAAGCCCGCGCCCUCACUCGGGAGUGCCCUUGACGCGGCUCCUGGCAGCGCCUUCCCUUCCCGGGGCGGCCGCAGGGCGGAGGGAGGCGGCCGGGCUCCCAGCAGACGGAACCGGGUCCUCGUCCCCACGCGGCCUCGUCCCGCCCCUGCCCAGACCCCCGCUCCCUCCGCGCCCCGUGCCGGGGAGGGCCCUCAGGGCCCCAGGGGUCCGGCCCGAGGUGCCGGGAGCGGUGAAGGACGUGACCUCGGGCAGACCUCCAGCGAGUCCCAAGGCCUUUCCCGCCUCCGGAGCGGAAGCCUGGGCUCCAGCCUCUCGGUGGCGGCGGCGCGAAGGGAGAGCCCCCGGAGGGACGGCGUCGGGGCCCUGGGGCCCUGGGACGAAAGGCGGAAGAAGGGGGUGCAGGUGCCCGCCUCUGGAGGCUCGGGGAUCGGCGAGUCCUCGGCCGCGCUCCUUGCUGAGGCUGGAGGCCGCCGCGCCGGGCACCGUCUCCGACUCGGCCCAGCGGGCGGGACGCGAGGGCGACAGCUGGGAGCUGAGAUUGUGGCCAAAGCCAGUUGCUGUUGCGCCUCCACACUGGGGCUCAGCUGGCCCGAGCUCGGGGUGGGACACACUCAGAGUCGCGGGAGCUGGCAGAGAAGGGAAGCGUCCAGGUGACGUGUGGACGAGCCUUUUCUUCGCGUGUGGACUCCUCCCUCCAGCUGCUCCGCGUCCUCGUCCUCUGCGACCCCUCGGCAGGACUUGGGGUUCCUCGUCCUCUGUGACGAUGGCGGCCCCCGGUCAGGGGUUCGUUUCUGUGGUUGUGUCUCUAAGGGAAAGCGUUAAGUGCCCGGCCUUCUCAGGACGAUGGCGAGCAGACUCAUUUUCGGGACGGUGGCUGUUGAUGGGUGCCCUUCUCGUCACUCUGAACAGGAAGAGCUCUGAGCUCCUGGAAGAGGCAGGGCUUUACAACGGAGGCCUCGCUCGGGGCGGCGGUGGCAGUGGCGGCGGGCGACCAGGGCCACGCUGCACAAGGCGGGAAGGCGCGAGGCCCUCAGGCCCCGCCAGGCAGCGGGUAGGCGGCGUUAAGCGGAGCUCGGUGGAAACCUUCAGGCCGUCCGCUCUGUGCCGGGGCCUCGCCGUCCGAAUUCCGCCAGGCAGACAGGAUCGCGGCGUGGCUUCUCAAUCCCGCAGGCCCCGCUCUUCCCGAGUCUGGCCCCAGGUGGCCUUGGAGCCGAGCGAAGGGGCCCGCGAGCCAGUGCCUGGGGUCUGGACACCGCCAAGGCCAGGCUCCGCUCAGCUGGCCGGGGCGGGCCUGCCUCCCCUCGGUGCCCACCUCCCAGCUGCUGGAUCUGUGUGA